UACGUAGGGGGCUAGCGUUGUCCGGAAUCAUUGGGCGUAAAGCGCGUGUGGGCGGUCCGGUAAGUCCGCUGUGAAAGUCGGGGGCUCAACCCUCGAAAGCCGGUGGAAACUGUCGGGCUAGAGUACGGAAGAGGCGAGUGGAAUUCCUGGUGUAGCGGUGAAAUGCGCAGAUAUCAGGAGGAACACCAAUUGCGAAGGCAGCUCGCUGGGACGUUACUGACGCUGAGACGCGAAAGCGUGGGGAGCAAACGGG
rnacentral:rRNA from 1 species